UACAGGGGGGGCAAGCGUUGUUCGGAAUUACUGGGCGUAAAGGGUUUGUAGGUGGCCAACUAAGUCAGACGUGAAAUCCCUCAGCUUAACUGGGGAACUGCGUCUGAUACUGGAUGGCUUGAGUGUGGGAGAGGAAUGCGGAAUUCCAGGUGUAGCGGUGAAAUGCGUAGAUAUCUGGAGGAACACCGGUGGCGAAGGCGGCAUUCUGGACCAACACUGACACUGAGGAGCGAAAGCCAGGGGAGCAAACGGG
rnacentral:rRNA from 1 species